rnacentral:tRNA from 1 species
GUGGGGAUAGCUUAGUGGUAGAGUGCAUGCUUAGCAUGCAUGAGGUCAUGGGUUCUAUUCCCAGUACCUCCA